rnacentral:rRNA from 1 species
GUGGGGAAUCUUGCGCAAUGGGCGAAAGCCUGACGCAGCAACGCCGCGUGCGGGAUGAAGGCUCUCGGGUCGUAAACCGCUUUCAGCAGGGACGAAAUCGGACGGUACCUGCAGAAGAAGCCCCGGCUAAAUACGUGCCAGCAGCCGCGGUAAUACGUAUGGGGCUAGCGUUAUCCGGAUUCAUUGGGCGUAAAGAGCGCGUAGGCGGCUUGUUAAGUCGGAUGUGAAAACCGUGGGCUCAACCCGCGGCCUGCAUCUGAAACUGGCAGGCUUGAGUCUGGUAGAGGAGUGUGGAAUUCCCAGUGUAGCGGUGAAAUGCGCAGAUAUUGGGAGGAACACCAGUGGCGAAGGCGGCACUCUGGGCCAGCACUGACGCUGAGGCGCGAAAGCUAGGGGAGCAAACAGGAUUAGAAACCCCAGUAGUCC